CCUACGGGGGGCAGCAGUGAGGAAUAUUGGUCAAUGGGCGCGAGCCUGAUCCAGCCAAGUAGCGUGAAGGAUGACUGCCCUACGGGUUGUAAACUUCUUUUAUAAAGGAAUAAAGUGAGGCACGUGUGCCCUUUUGUAUGUACUUUAUGAAUAAGGAGCGGCUAACUCCGUGCCAGCAGCCGCGGUAAUACGGAGGAUCCGAGCGUUAUCCGGAUUGAUUGGGUUUAAAGGGAGCGUAGAUGGGUUGUUACGUCAGUUGUGAAAGUUUGCGGCUCAACCGUAGAAUUGCAAUUGAUACUGGCAGUCUUGAGUACAGUUGAGGUAGGCGGAAUUCGUGGUGUAGCGGUGAAAUGCGUAGAUAUAACGAAGAACACCGAUGGCGAAGGCAGCUUACUAAACUGCAACUGACAUUGAUGCUCGAAAGUGUGGGUAUCAAACAGGAUUAGAUACCCCGGUAGUC
rnacentral:rRNA from 1 species